rnacentral:rRNA from 1 species
GACGUAGGGCGCGAGCGUUGUCCGGAUUUAUUGGGCGUAAAGAGCUCGUAGGCGGCUGUUCAAGUCGAACGUGAAAUCCCCCGAGCUCAACUCGGGAACUGCGUCUGAUACUGGCGGGCUUGAAUCCGGGAGAGGGAUGCGGAAUUCCAGGUGUAGCGGUGAAAUGCGUAGAUAUCUGGAGGAACACCGGUGGCGAAGGCGGCAUCCUGGACCGGCAUUGACGCUGAGGCGCGAAAGCUAGGGGAGCAAACGGG